rnacentral:rRNA from 1 species
GUAGGGAAUCUUGCGCAAUGGGCGAAAGCCUGACGCAGCCAUGCCGCGUGAAUGAUGAAGGUCUUAGGAUUGUAAAAUUCUUUCACCGGGGACGAUAAUGACGGUACCCGGAGAAGAAGCCCCGGCUAACUUCGUGCCAGCAGCCGCGGUAAUACGAAGGGGGCUAGCGUUGCUCGGAAUUACUGGGCGUAAAGGGAGCGUAGGCGGAUAGUUUAGUCAGAGGUGAAAGCCCAGGGCUCAACCUGGGAAUUGCCUUUGAUACUGGAUAGCUUGAGUAUGGAAGAGGUAUGUGGAACUCCGAGUGUAGAGGUGAAAUUCGUAGAUAUUCGGAAGAACACCAGUGGCGAAGGCGACAUACUGGUCCAUUACUGACGCUGAGGCUCGAAAGCGUGGGGAGCAAACAGGAUUAGAAACCCGGGUAGUCC